AGUAGUUUGACUCCGUGGCUACAGAACACGCUGGCGGCAUGCCUAACACAUGCAAGUCGAACGGGAUCUUGACUUCGGUCAGGUGAGAGUGGCGGACGGGUGAGUAACACGUGGGAACCUGCUUUGGUUCGGGAUAACCGCGGGAAACUGCGGCUAAUACCGGAUACUCCCGAGAGGGGAAAGAUUUAUCGCCAGAAGAGGGGCCCGCGUCCGAUUAGGUAGUUGGUGGGGUAAUGGCCUACCAAGCCGACGAUCGGUAGCUGGUCUGAGAGGAUGAUCAGCCACACUGGGACUGAGAUACGGCCCAGACUCCUACGGGAGGCAGCAGUGGGGAAUAUUGGACAAUGGGGGCAACCCUGAUCCAGCAAUGCCGCGUGAGUGAUGAAGGCCUUAGGGUUGUAAAGCUCUUUUGCCAGGGAAGAUGAUGACUGUACCUAGAGAAUAAGCCCCGGCUAACUUCGUG
rnacentral:rRNA from 1 species